rnacentral:rRNA from 1 species
UUUAUUGAGAGUUUGAUCCUGGCUCAGGACGAACGCUGGCGGCGUGCCUAACACAUGCAAGUCGAGCGAUGAAGUUUCCUUCGGGAAACUGAUUAGCGGCGGACGGGUGAGUAACACGUGGGUAACCUGCCUUAUAGUGGGGGAUAGCCUUUCGAAAGGAAGAUUAAUACCGCAUAAGAUUGUAGUAUCGCAUGAUAUAGCAAUUAAAGGAGCAAUUCGCUAUAAGAU